rnacentral:sRNA from 1 species
UCGCGUCAAGCGCCGAAGGCAGGAGCGGGGGAACCAAGGUAGGCGCCGGGACCGGCCGUUGAGAGACGGCCAGGGAACGGCUAGGGGUUAAGUCGUGCGCCACGUCGCACGGCCGGGCACUCAUCAGCCCGAACCCGACAGCUCACCUCGUAGGCGUCGGUGAGGAGAACU